GCAUAUCAAUAAGCGGAGGAAAAGAAACUAACAAGGAUUCCCCUAGUAGCGGCGAGCGAAGCGGGAAAAGCUCAAAUUUGUAAUCUGGCGUCUACGACGUCCGAGUUGUAAUCUCGAGAAGUGUUUUCCGUGAUAGACCGCAUACAAGUCUCUUGGAACAGAGCGUCAUAGUGGUGAGAACCCAGUACACGAUGCGGAUGCCUAUUACUUUGUGAUACACUUUCGAAGAGUCGAGUUGUUUGGGAAUGCAGCUCAAAUUGGGUGGUAAAUUCCAUCUAAAGCUAAAUAUUGGCGAGAGACCGAUAGCGAACAAGUACCGUGAGGGAAAGAUGAAAAGCACUUUGGAAAGAGAGUUAACAGUACGUGAAAUUGUUGGAAGGGAAACACAUGCAGCCAGACUUGCUAUUCGGGGCAACUCGAUUGGCAGGCCCGCAUCAGUUUUUCGGGGCGGAAAAUCAUAGAGAGAAGGUAGCAAUUUCGGUUGUGUUAUAGCUCUUUAUUGGAUUCGCCCUGGGGGACUGAGGAACGCAGCGUGCUUUUAGCAUAAGCUUCGGCUUAUCCACGCUUAGGAUGCGGGUGUAAUGGCUGUAUAUGACCCGUCUUGAAACACGGACC
rnacentral:rRNA from 2 species